rnacentral:rRNA from 1 species
AGAGUUUGAUCAUGGCUCAGAACGUACGCUGGCGGCACGCCUAACACAUGCAAGUCGAACGAAGUAGCAAUACUUAGUGGCAGACGGGUGAGUAACAUGUAGGUAUCUACCCUAUGGCCUGGAAUAACACGAGGAAACUUGUGCUAAUACCGGAUAAGUCUUUACGGAGAAAGCUUUAUGCACCAUUGGAUGAGCCUGCACUUGAUUAGUUUGUUGGUGGGGUAAUGGCCUACCAAGACUGUGAUCAAUAGCUGAUUUGAGAGGAUGAUCAGCCACAUUGGGACUGAGACACGGCCCAAACUCCUACGGGAGGCAGCAGUGGGGAAUCUUGCACAAUGGAGGAAACUCUGAUGCAGCGAUGCCGCGUGAGUGAAGAAGGCCUUUGGGUUGUAAAGCUCUUUCGUCGGGGAAGAAAAUGACUGUACCCGAAUAAGAAGGUCCGGCUAACUUCGUGCCAGCAGCCGCGGUAAUACGAAGGGACCUAGCGUAGUUCGGAAUUACUGGGCUUAAAGAGUUCGUAGGUGGUUGAAAAAGUUGGUGGUGAAAUCCCAGAGCUUAACUCUGGAACUGCCAUCAAAACUUUUCAGCUAGAGUAUGAUAGAGGAAAGCAGAAUUUCUAGUGUAGAGGUGAAAUUCGUAGAUAUUAGAAAGAAUACCAAUUGCGAAGCAGCUUUCUGGAUCAUUACUGACACUGAGGAACGAAAGCAUGGGUAGCGAAGAGGAUUAGAUACCCUCGUAGUCCAUGCCGUAAACGAUGUGUGUUAGACGUUGGAAAUUUAUUUUCAGUGUCGCAGCGAAAGCGAUAAACACACCGCCUGGGGAGUACGA